GAGGACAAAGUAAAACAGCAAAAGUUUCGAGCAGCAGCCCUUUCUCAAUGCUAAUUAGCAUUGAGAAAGGGCUGCUGCUCGAAACUUUUGCUGUUUUACUUUGUCCUC